UACGUAGGGGGCAAGCGUUGUCCGGAAUCAUUGGGCGUAAAGCGCGUGUAGGCGGUCCGGUAAGUCAGCUGUGAAAGCCCCGGGCUCAACCUGGGAAUUGCGGUUGAAACUGGCGAACUAGAAUCUGGCAGAGGGGGGUGGAAUUCCACGUGUAGCAGUGAAAUGCGUAGAGAUGUGGAGGAACACCGAUGGCGAAGGCAGCCCCCUGGGCUGAGAUUGACGCUCAGGCACGAAAGCGUGGGGAGCAAACAGG
rnacentral:rRNA from 1 species